GGCAGGAUGGCCGAGUGGUCUAAGGCGCUGCGUUAAGUCCGCAGUAUCUUCGGAUGCGUGUGUUCGAAUCACACUCCUGUCA